rnacentral:misc_RNA from 1 species
AGAUUUGUUGUCUAUUGCAGUCAGAGAUAAGAGUUGUCAGAAAUCAACCCCUGCAACAUCGUUUACACAAGGAGAAAUCGCGGAGGAGAUACAUCCGUGUGCGCUCAACGCCACGCUGAUUGGUUUGUGUUUAGUGUGCGUACCUUUCACCAUUGUUGCUCGAUGGUGCAGUCGUGCAGUGGCGAUUUCUGACAAAUCUAAUUGUAGUAUGUAUCGCGUAGAUACGAGUAGAUAUGAAUAACGAUGUCAUAUCAAGAGGCUGGUUUUUCAACGUAUGAUCGCCAGGACGAUUACGAUUUCGACGAUGACAAUGAGGAAUAUCUGGACGAUGAUAGGGAUGCCGAAGAGCAAGAUGAAAGCGAUGAAGAUACUGAGGAGGCGAGCGAAACCGACAUGGGAAAGUCGGAGGAAUAUACGGAGAUCAAAGAACAGAUGUACCAGGAUAAAUUAGCCAGCUUGAAAAAGCAGCUGCAGCAGUUAACCGAGGGCACGCAUCCUGAAUAUAAUCGUAAGGUGAAAAGACUGGAAGCACAAUACAAAGAACGAUUAAGACUGAAUCAAAUUUAUCGAGAUUACUUGACAGAAUGGGUGGAGCGAGAUUACAUAUCGGAGAAGAAAGCAGCAGCAAAAGAAUUUGAAGAGAAAAAGAUUGAUCUGAAGGAAAAUCUGCUUACUGAUAUGGAGGAAAAACGAAAGAUGAUUGAGACAGAUCGUCACACAAUGGAACUCACCGGUGAUUCCAUGGAGGUAAAGCCAGUAAUGACAAGAAAAUUACGCAGACGUCCCAAUGAUCCAGUACCUGAAAAAGUAGAGAAACGACGAAAGCCACCUCCUACACAACUAAAUUACGUGUUGGACGACAAAGAUAUUGAACUCGACUUAAAAGCGAUCAAUCGUGCAAAAGCACCGACCACCAUUCGCAAGCCAGUAGUUUUACCACAUUUCAACGCGGUAAAUAUUCCGUCACAACAUAUAUCACAGCCAUCUGAAACUCCACUGGUGGAAACUCGGAUAGAGGACGGAAAAUUAUUGUAUGAGCGAAGAUGGUUCCAUCGUGGUCAACCUGUCUAUGUCGAAGGCAAGGAUCUUAAUAGAUUCGCGGCGAACAUUUCCGCAAUUGGCACCGAAGCGAUCUGGGUGAAGAAGGUAUCUGACAGCAGUAAAGUACGGAUUUACACGUCGCAGUUGAGCCGUGGAAAGAUUUCUAUCAAGCGGCGGGCCUCCUAAUUCAACUCCUCUAUUAUCCUCGGAAUCUAUUGUCAGACUUGUGAUACAUCUCGCUUAUCAUUUCUAGUUAAAGUGCGCCAUGUAAAUCCAGACGAAGAAUGACAGAAUUAGUAGCGCCAUCAUUGACAGCAGGGAAUAGGUGGUCCAUCGUGCCGGUGGAAAAUUGUCGUAAUUAUUUCUAGCAUAAAAAUCGGCAGCCACUACGCAGAUGUAGGAACACGCGAUGGUCACAGGCACAACCAAACUCCAACGGACCGAAGAACCUUGUAACGAGGUGUUCGUUCCAUCCGAAACUCGUGACCGCACAAUUCACAGUUAUUCCUAUUGCUCUCUUCUAACCAUCGUUCCAAACAUUUUAGAUGGAUCGCGCCCAUUGUUCCCUAAGUUCAGUUGUCGUUAUUGUAAUUGUGUAAUUAUUGAUUUGAAAUUUUUUCAAACAUAUUUGAGUGAAAAAUAAAUUACACUCCACAAAUUGGAA